rnacentral:rRNA from 1 species
UACGAAGGGGGCGAGCGUUGUUCGGAAUUACUGGGCGUAAAGGGCGCGUAGGCGGAUACGCAAGUGGGAUGUGAAAUACCCGGGCUUAACCUGGGAACUGCAUCCUAAACUGCGUAUCUGGAGUACUGUAGAGGAUAGUGGAAUUUCCGGUGUAGCGGUGAAAUGCGUAGAGAUCGGAAGGAACACCAGUGGCGAAGGCGACUGUCUGGACAGAUACUGACGCUGAGGCGCGAGAGCGUGGGGAGCAAACAGG